rnacentral:rRNA from 1 species
UGGGGAAUAUUGCACAAUGGGGGAAACCCUGAUGCAGCGACGCCGCGUGAACGAAGAAGGUAUUCGUAUCGUAAAGUUCUUUCCUAUGGGAAGAUAAUGACAGUACCAUAGAAGAAAGCUCCGGCUAAAUACGUGCCAGCAGCCGCGGUAAUACGUAUGGAGCGAGCGUUGUCCGGAAUUAUUGGGCGUAAAGGGUACGCAGGCGGUUUAAUAAGUCGAAUGUUAAAGAUCGGGGCUCAACCCCGCAAAGCAUUGGAAACUGAUAAACUUGAGUAGUGGAGAGGAAAGUGGAAUUCCUAGUGUAGUGGUGAAAUACGUAGAUAUUAGGAGGAAUACCAGUAGCGAAGGCGACUUUCUGGACACAAACUGACGCUGAGGUACGAAAGCGUGGGGAGCAAACAGG